AGGGCGAGGAGGGCGAAUCCGUUCGGGAUUCGGGGCCGGGAGCCUGACAGCAACCGGCAACCGCGAACUGGACUACCGUCUGACGGCGGCGAGGAGGCGAUUGCCCAUCGUGGCUGUGGCGUCGCACAAGCUGCCGCCUCGCCUGGCGAGAGCGGAGACCCGGCUGGUUGCCGUCUGCUCAUUCAGUGUCCUACAGCCAGCAUUGAACAUGAUGUUGUCCUAGAGACAAAGCCACAUUAUUUGGUCCCUACAGAAACAUCAUGGAAAAAACAGAAAGUUGGCUAUGUUACAACCUAAAUCUUAACGACGUGUCAAGGUAUAAAUGAUUAUGGUAAGAAACUGGAGGCGUAGAGCGGAAAAGGACACCACAAGAAAAUGCAGCAACUGCUCGAUGUCAGAUUCUCAAUUGAAGGUGGUAAUCUUGACUUCUUUAGAAUUAAAAGAAAUAGUAAUCUUGACUUAUUUAGAGGUAAAAUAAAUAAUAAUCUUGACUUCUAGACCAUGGUAACGACAUCAAAAUUGUAUGUCCAUAUAGAUUAUGUGGUCUUUGGAACUGCUGAAAACAGGACCAGCAUCAGUUAAGAAAAUAUCUGAGACAAGACAAAAAAAAAGCUAGGAUGGAAGCACAUCUGUGAUACGUUAAAUUAGGAUGGCAACAGUAAUCCAGUGCCUUGUUU
rnacentral:lncRNA from 7 species